UUUUGCCUCUGGCGCAGACACUUCAUGUAUCCUGGGUUAGUGAGCUGCAGGUUCUGCUCCCUCACCGCUAAGGGUGGAGAGUACUAGCUGACAGCUCAAAUUACCUGAUUCUCUCUGAUUGACCAAGAUGUACUGCAUUAUCCUCCGUCGGUAUGUAUGAUGCCGCUCGUCAGCGGUUGUUGAAUCCCGUAGUCUGUCAGCUUCAGUGAACCGGCAUUUCCACUCUCUCAAGUGCUAUUUGGCACCCAGAGUACAAGUGAGUAGAAAGAAGCAGAUCCGCUACAUUACUAAAGGCCAGAUUUAAGAAAGUAAGGCAGACAGCGGUACAUCUUUGCCCCUGUCCGCCCAGCUUUGGGUUUAGUGGGCAAUGACACCCCCGGUCGGAGCAAGAGCUGUCAAUCUUCCCAGCCUGAAAAUCUGGGGGAAUUGACAUACACUACAUAACAGGUGGAGAAGUGGUUACGAAGCAGCGGUCUGUGAGGAGGACAGUUGCUGAGGGCAGGAAAGGGCUGGAACAUUAAGGAUUUCCUGUAGAUACCAGAAGCCACAAACCCUCACUGAGUAUAAAGAAAAAAAAUGGGACUAAAAAAAAGGAUGAAUUGAGGGUUACUUCACUGUUUAUGGAAAGCUUCAGUGGUUUGAUUGGUGGAUUUGAUUUUGGAUUUCA